GCAGCGGGGUGAGUGCUUGCACUCACUGCCGGCGACUGGCGCACGGGUGAGUAACACGUAUGCAACCUGCCCUCCACAGGGGGACAACCUUCCGAAAGGGAGGCUAAUCCCGCGUAUCUCGUUCCGGGGCAUCCCGGGGUGAUGAAAGGUUUCGGCCGGUGGAGGAUGGGCAUGCGGCGCAUUAGGCAGACGGCGGGGUAACGGCCACCGUACCGACGAUGCGUAGGGGUUCUGAGAGGAAGGUCCCCCACACUGGUACUGAGACACGGACCAGACUCCUACGGGAGGCAGCAGUGAGGAAUAUUGGUCAAUGGGCGGGAGCCUGAACCAGCCAAGCCGCGUGAGGGAGGAAGGCCCUACGGGUCGUAAACCUCUUUUGCCGGGGAACAAAAGCGGGUAUGCAUACCCGUAUGAGUGUACCCGGAGAAAAAGCAUCGGCUAACUCCGUGCCAGCAGCCGCGGUAAUACGGAGGAUGCGAGCGUUAUCCGGAUUUAUUGGGUUUAAAGGGUGCGUAGGCGGCAUUUCAAGUCAGCGGUAAAAUUGCGGGGCUCAACCCCGUAUAGCCGUUGAGACUGAGGAGCUAGAGACGGCGAGAGGUACGCGGAAUGCGCAGUGUAGCGGUGAAAUGCAUAGAUAUUGCGCAGAACUCCGAUUGCGAAGGCAGCGUACUGGCGCCGGACUGACGCUGAGGCACGAAAGCGUGGGGAUCGAACAGGAUUAGAUACCCUGGUAGUCCACGCAGUAAACGAUGAAUGCCGGCUGUUCGGCCUGAUUGAAAGCUGAGCGGCGAAGCGAAAGCGAUAAGCAUUC
rnacentral:rRNA from 1 species